GCGCUUGCUUUCGGCAGCACAGAUACUAAAAUUGGAACAACACAAUACAGAGAAGAUUAGCAUGGCCCCUGCUCAAGGAUGGCACGACAAUUUGUGAGGCACUCCAUAGUUUUU
ensembl:snRNA Gm22827 U6 spliceosomal RNA